CUUUGGAAUCAUUGUUGGAAAUGCAACAUGAAGUAUUGAGUUCAGAUGUUACGUCAUCAAAGACAUCUUGUGAUAAUCAUGACAAUUUACCCAACGUUAUCAUGGGUGGAAAACCUGGUGCUCUACCAAACUCUCAGUUUUUAAAGAUAGAGGAUCCUGUCCGACGUAGAGUUCAAACUGCUUCUGUUAUUGGAAAGAACAACACAAGAGGUUUUGAGCU